ACUGCUCAGUAACACGUAGUCAACAUGCCCAGGGGACGUGGAUAACCUCGGGAAACUGAGGAUAAACCGCGAUAGGUCAUAGUAUCUGGAAUGAUUUAUGGCUUAAAUCUAUAUGGCCUCUGGAUUGGACUGCGGCCGAUCAGGCUGUUGGUGAGGUAAUGGCCCACCAAACCUAAAACCGGUACGGGCUCUGAGAGGAGAAGCCCGGAGAUGGGCACUGAGACAAGGGCCCAGGCCCUAUGGGGCGCAGCAGGCGCGAAAACUCUGCAAUAAGCGAAAGCUUGACAGGGUUAUUCUGAGUGAUUUCCGCUAAGGAAAUCUUUUGGCACCUCUAAAAAUGGUGCGGAAUAAGGGGUGGGCAAGCCUGGUGUCAGCCGCCGCGGUAAUACCAGCACCCCGAGUGGUCGGGACGAUUAUUGGGCCUAAAGCAUCCGUAGCCGGUUCUACAAGUCUUCCGUUAAAUCCACCUGCUCAACAGAUGGGCUGCGGAGGAUACUAUAGAGCUAGGAGGCGGGAGAGGCAAGCGGUACUCAGUGGGUAGGGGUAAAAUCCGUUGAUCCAUUGAAGACCACCAGUGGCGAAGGCGGCUUGCCAGAACGCACUCGACGGUGAGGGAUGAAAGCUGGGGGAGCAAACCGGAUUAGAUACCCGGGUAGUCCCAGCUGUAAACGAUGCAGACUCGGUGAUGAAUAGGCUUCGUGCCUAUUCAGUGCCGCAGGGAAGCCGUUAAGUCUGCCGCCUGGGGAGUACGGUCGCAAGACUGAAACUUAAAGGAAUUGGCGGGGGAGCA
rnacentral:rRNA from 1 species